UCCUUUUUAACUUUCACAGUAGUAGUGCAGCAUCCAGAAUGGAUGUCCUCUUUGUAGCCAUCCUUGCUGUGCCACUUAUCCUGGGACAAAUAUAUGAGGAUGAAGAAGUACUGGAAGAGGAUUAUUAUUAUCAAGUGAUCUAUAAUUACACAGUCACCCCCAAUUAUGAUUAUUUUGGUGCAAAUUUCACUGUUGAUUAUUCCAUGUUUGAGUCAGAGGACAGACUGAACAGGUUGGAUAAGGAGGUAAUGGAAGCAGAAGAAACAACCAUUAUUCAUGAAACAGAACGUGUAGACCAUCAGAGGCCUGAAACAGUGAAACCAGUGACAAUGGGACCAGUGACAAUGGAACCAGUGACAAUGGAACCAGUGACAAUGGAACCAGUGACAAUGGAACCAGUGACAGUGGAACCAGUGACAGUGGAACCACUUGUAGCACAGGGACCAGCGCAUAAAUAAAAAUACAUAUUGAAUUGAGUCGAACCUCCCUGGUAUGGUCAGGAAUGGGUGAAAGGCACAAGAGGAAGGAAUUCUUUUCGGUGCUGGGGAGGAAGGUAUGCUCAGAGGAAAGGAAGACAAAAGUUGCGGAGUCCAGAUAUGAACCAUGCUGUAUCCAGUCUGCAGAGUCCUGUUUCCCUUCUCCUGUCCUGGACC